CCGCUUGGCGGCAGCAGAAGAGUCUCCUUCAGUCGAGAAGGGUUUCUCUGUUGCAGGAAGGAAACACACUCUCCACCAUCAACGGAGCAGCUCGUCGUCGUCGUCAUCGGAGAAGCCCAUUACCAAAUAUCUUAACCUUCAGCCAUAAGUGGAGUGCCUCCAGCCGAAGCGAUCUGCUCCCGAAAGCGAAUUUAUCAGUGUUAAGUGGUCAGACUCAAUGAGUGAAAGUCUUUCUCCCCGUUCGCGAUUAGGGUUUCCACCAAAGACAUGCCUUCCGUUUGAGCUGUCUUGGGCAAAAUACAGCUCUGAUGGCCCCUUCCGUAGAGCCUUCCAAGGAAGGAGCCAUCGAUGUUUACUUUAAGAACGCCCGGUGCCGUGCUCCGCCUGAUGCUCGUUCUCAAUUUUAAGACAUUGGUGGUGGUGAUGGGGACGUGGGUCGCCGCCCCUGCAGUUGUUGUAAGGUGCACCAAGAAGCAGCUCCUCUCUUCUUUCUCCUCCUCCUUCCCCAAACCCAAGUUCCUCUCUGCCUCCGCAUGUCUCCUCGACUCCGACCCUCCCGACUCUUCCGCUUCCGCCGCCGCCGCCGCAGCGAGCCAGCUUAAGCGCCACCCCGACCCUGACCCCGACCUCGCCUUCUCCUUCUUUCUUCGCCUGGAUUCCCGUGGCUUCCCUCUCGACCCUCCCACUUAUGCCUCCCUCAUCUCCAUCCUCUCCCCCGCCGCCUCCCGCCCCCGCCUCGAUUUCGUCUUCUCCCGCCUCGUCGCCUCCUUCCAUGCCGCACGGCGCUCUGCUAUUCCUUCCUUGCUCGAUUCCCUUGCUCUGCUGGGCGGCCCCCCUCUCCUGCUUCGCUCUGUCGAUCUCCUCAUCAGGGCCUAUGUUCGGGCUGGCCUCUUCGACGAUGCUAUCGAUACCUUGUUCCGCUUCGAGUGGGGCGCCCUCAUUCCCCGCGUCUCCACCUGUAAUUUCCUCCUCGACCGCUUGAUCGACAGCCGCCAUCCCGCUGCCGCCAUCGCUCUGUACGAGCAGUUGAAGCGGCUCGGUUUUAUCCCCAAUGAGUACAGCUAUGCCAUCUUGAUCAAGGCUCUUUGUAGGACUCGCGACUUGGAAGAGGCGGAGCAAGUCGUGGUCCAUAUGGAAGAGCAUGGCAUUGUCCCCGACGUGUACUGCUAUGCUGCCUUGAUUCAUGGCCACUGCAAGAGUUCCAAUUUGGCGCGAGCUUUGGAAAUCCACUUUUAUAUGCGGUCAAAAGGAAUCAAUUCCAACUGCUUCAUCAUCAGCACCCUUAUCCAGUGCUUCUGUGAUAUGGGCAAGCCUGAUGAAGCAGUGCAACUGUUUAACGAGUUCAAAUCGGACAUUUUUCUGGAUAAUAUCACAUACAACAUGGCUGUCGGUGCUCUGUGCAAGCUGGGUAGAGUGGAAGCGGCCGCAGAGUUACUUGAAGAGAUGAAGGGCAAGGGGAUGGUUCUUGAUAUCGUGCACUACACAACUUUAAUCAAUGGCUAUUGUCUCCAGGGCGACAUUUGCAGUGCCUUGAAAGUGCUCGAGCAAAUCAUGGAGAGAGGGCUUCAGCUUGAUAUUGUCACUUACAAUGUACUUGCCCAUGGAUAUUCUCGGACAGGACUUGUGAGGGAGGCGCGUGAGCUUCUAAGAUGUAUGGACGCUUGGGGUGUGAAACCCGAUGUUGUCACACACAACAUGAUAAUUGAGGGUUUAUGUAUUUCAGGUAAAGUGGAGGAAGCUGAAGUGUUUUUCUCUGGCCUGCAAGAGAAGAGCGCCGCAAAUAAAGUUGCCAUGUUCGAAGGGUAUUGCCAAGCCAACCAUUCGAGAAGGGCCUUUAAACAUUUCAAGGAGUUAUCAGAAGCAGAAAAAAAGUCAGUAAAGAAAAAUUCCUUCUUCAAAUUGGUUGCUGCUCUUUGCAAAGCUGGUGAUAUGAGAAAUGCAAAGUGGUUGUUUGAUAGAUCGGUGGAGAAGGGACUAACCCCUGAUGUUGUGACCUAUACGUUAAUGAUUGAUGGAUACUUUAAUGCAAAUCGCAUGCAGGAAGGGCUUUUUCUUUUCGAUGACAUGAAGAAGAGAGGGGUCGAGCCUGAUGUUGUCACCUAUACGGUAAUGAUAGAUGGAUACUUUCAUGCAAAUCGCUUGCAGGACGGACUUGAUCUUUUUGAUGAAAUGAAGAAGAGAGGGGUUGAGCCUGAUGUUGACAUCUAUACGUUAAUAAUAGAUGGAUACUUUCAUGCAAAUCGCUUGCGGGAAGGGCUUGAUCUUUUCCUUGAAAUGAAGAAUAGAGGGGUCGAGCCUGAUGUAAUUGCUUGUACAGUGUUACUUGAUGGCCUUUCAAAGGCUUUGUAAGCUUGGCAACAUUGAGGAAGCCGAGGAUUUAUUGAGGGAAUUGAUUCAAAGUGGGCUUCAGCCAGAUGUGGGAAUUGUACCUGGUAUGUGGACCAUCUCUGUUUUGGAGUCUGCUGAACCUGAACUUGAAGCCUGAAAAGUGCAGAUACUGAGGCAAUUUAUGUAUUUUACAGGUGACAAGAGCAAGAGCAGAGCGUCUUUCCUUAAAUGUGAUACGACACUGUAUAGAGAGCGGAAGCUUUUUGCAAAUUCGUGGAAAUGCUGGUAUGCCUUGGCUUCUUUCAUAGAUUUAAAUCCAGCAAUGCAUAAUCUCUGCAUUAUUUUUUUGCUGACUCUUUUGUAACAUGUUUUUCAAGAUUUGAGGUGUUCAAUAAUGAAAUUUUCAUCUAUCCCCAUUCUCUGAUUAGAAAACCUACAUUUUGCCCCUGUUUUAGAUUGUUUAAUUUUCCAGUUUGGUUAAUGACAAGCUCUAUAAGCCAUAUUGUUUAAUCUAGCUUGAUUUUGCUUCUAGAAACACCAGAUAGAUUAUUAAGAUCUUCUUUAAUAGGAAGUGUUGGUAUUUAUAUAAGAAGGGAUGUGGGUUUGUGAUUCCUCUGAAAGACGGAGGACGUUAAAACCUUCUGACGUAGCCUCCAGUGAGUGUCUAAGCAAAAAACUUAGGAUAAGCUUCCCAGUAAGGAUGAAUGAAAUAGUUUUGACAAGUUCAUGUUGAUUUCAUUUUCCAUGUUCUGUAUAUACUUUGAAAACUCUUGCUGUCUAGAUGUCAUGGCCAAUCUCUGCAACUAUUUGGCCGAAGGAAUAUUUGGUAAUUUCAAACAUUUGGGCUACUUGAAAUUACAGCAUUUUGGAUGGUCAUUGAAUUCCUUUUUUUUAAGACUAAGAUAAGAUAUCAUCUACACUUCUCUAAUUCAUCCAUUGCACUCACAUGGCAACCAUUCUUUUCAUCCUGCAAAAUGGUGACAAGAUAUAUGAAGUGCACUGUUAGUUUAUUUUGAUCUUCUGUUCUCACUGCCACUUCAUUUAUACAUCUUCCUUGCUAAAAAGGCAUCAACAUACUUGACUUUUUACGUUCUUCCAUAAAAAGCAAGAGAGAAGACGAACUCUCGGUCUUCGUUUAUAAUGCUCAUUUAUCCCAUUUUGAGCUAUUUGUUGACCACAUAUUAUUUGCAAAAAGCAUAGGUAGGGGAUAUGCCAAUGUGUUUUCAAUCAGUCUAGGGUUAGUGGUAUACCAAUUUCAUGGUCUUUGGUGUUGAUUGCGUGGAAGGUUUCACCAAAGUAUUUUGCGAGUAUUUCAUCUUUCUUUUCAAUUUUCUGGGUGCUCAUUAUUUCUCCUUGUUUGUGGCUGUUUGUUACAUUCCUUUUUUCCUGCACAACAUUUCUUAGGAAACGUUUUAGUUCCUAUACCUUCUUCCACCUAAGUAUUGUGGCCUGCACUUGAACUUCAAAUUGGCUAAUCAUGGCAGACAAUUGUAUUACUUAUAAAUAUUGCUAGAACAUAGAUGAUGGUUCCACUCCUGUAAUACCAAAAGUAGUAGUUUUUAAUUUCUUACUACGGGAAAGAAGAAUUAGCAUCCUUAACUUCUCUAGAUGCCAUUCUGAUUCUUUAGUGGUAUACCAAUUUCAUAACGCUGCUUGACUGUGUGAGGUGAUGCCAUCUGAUUCUUUAGUGUCAUUUGGAAUGUCUGCUAAUCUCUGCUUGCUCAAUUUCUUACGUUCCAGUGUCUGAUUUUUGCACUAUUCAUUUGUGAGCUGGGUGUUUUGCAGGCAUCUUUGGAAGUCGAUGUUGUUGCGUAUGGAGGUAGGCUUCUUCUGUUGAUGGCUAUGACGAUACUGGUAGCUCAAGAGUUUGGUUCUUGGUCUAUCUGAAGAUAACUCCAUGCUCGUUUUGAAAAGUAUCUGCGUUGUCAGUAUGCUAACCCAGGGGGUUAUUGAAGAUUAGUACAGUACUUGAGGACGUCGAGUAUGAAGGUUCAAUUUUUUUUCAGCAGCGUAGAAUAUUAUUCGGGGUGGAUUCAGAUAGAUAAUUUCUUAUUUGGUACAUCGUGUGGCGAUUUCUUACCCAAUUGAAACGAAUGCGCUUUCUUUGAGCUUCGAUUCAACAAGUUCAUCCAAAAA